rnacentral:rRNA from 1 species
UACGAAGGGAGCUAGCGUUGUUCGGAAUCACUGGGCGUAAAGCGCACGUAGGCGGAUGUGUCAGUCAGGGGUGAAAUCCCGGAGCUCAACUUCGGAACUGCCUUUGAUACAGCACGUCUGGAGGGUGCGAGAGGCAUGUGGAAUACCCGGUGGAGCGGUGAAAUGCGUAGAGACCGGGUGGAACACCAGUGGCGAAGGCGGCAUGCUGGCGCAUUCCUGACACUGAGGCGCGAGAGCGUGGGGAGCAAACGGG